rnacentral:lncRNA from 1 species
AGUUAGUAUUUUUUAUUUAAUGACUUGUCUCAUAAUUUGUCAACACAAUAUUGGACUUAAAAUCACUUAUACGAAACGAGAUUGUAUUAAAAAUUAAAUAAUUAUAAGGUUUCUGCAAGUUUGUUACAAUAUGCCCUGACACAAAAAAAAAACCGGAAGGAACGGACUAUGCUAGUACUGCUAAACACGUUUUACUUUUAUCAAUAAACCUGAGUCAGAAACUAAGUUAUAACACAUAGACGUUUCAGGAUCAACGUAUACUAGAUACUAUUUUUAUUAGUAUUACGUAGACUACUUUAAGGAGAACUAGAGUGUGGGUAAAUGUAAGGAGAUAUAUCUCAAGAUUUAUAAAAGCCAAACGAGUAUACGAGUACUCAAUUGGUAUUCGAGUACUCAGACUUCCGAGCAAGUACUCGAGUACUCGAUGCCAUUCCUACUAAAAUUCAUAUACAUUAACUUGCUGAUUAAUUAUGUUAACUUUUACAUACAUAUUGAAACUGAUAAUAGAAUUCAAACCACAAACUAUAAAACAUUACAUAAUAUCGAACCAGACUUACAAAAGACACAUCAAAAC